GGAAUCUUGGGAAUGUGCGAAAGCCUGACCCAGCAACGCCGCGUGGGCGAUGAAGGCCUUAGGGUCGUAAAGCCCUUUUGCGGGGGACGAUGAUGACGGUACCCCGCGCAUAAGCCACGGCGAACUACGUACCAGCAGCCGCGGUAAUACGUAGGUGGCAAGCGUUUGCCGGAUUUACUGGGCGUAAAGGGCGCGCAGGCGGUCUGUUUAGUCUAGGGUGAAAGCUCCCGGCUCAACUGGGAGAGGUCCUUGGAUACUGGCAGACUCGAGGGAGGCAGAGGAAAGUGGAAUUCCCGGUGUAGUGGUGAUAUGCGUAGAUAUCGGGAGGAACACCAGUGGCGAAGGCGGCUUUCUGGGCCUUACCUGACGCUGAGGCGCGAAAGCGUGGGGAGCGAUC
rnacentral:rRNA from 1 species